GAUCAUGGCUCAGAUUGAACGCUGGCGGCAGGCCUAACACAUGCAAGUCGAGCGGAUGAAGGGAGCUUGCUCCUGGAUUCAGCGGCGGACGGGUGAGUAAUGCCUAGGAAUCUGCCUGGUAGUGGGGGACACGUCCGGAAACGGGCGCUAAUACCGCAUACGUCCUGAGGGAGAAAGUGGGGGAUCUUCGGACCUCACGCUAUCAGAUGAGCCUAGGUCGGAUUAGCUAGUUGGG
rnacentral:rRNA from 1 species